GGCCCCUUCUGGGCCUUCUCUCUUGGGGCCACCCUGGGAACCUAGUGGCUGCUCUCUUUGCAGCUCUGUUGCAUUGUGCAGGGACCACAGGCUAGAGUGGAACCAUACCCAGGGGCUGGUAUUCUGCUACCUGGUGGGCCUGGCAGAAUGGUUGGGGGCAGCAGACCUUGUUCACUGUCAGCAGAUGUGAGGGCCCUGGAUUUACUGCUGCAUUAAUAUUCACUCAGUGUUGUGUGUUGAGCUGUAAUGCGUGCGAAGCCUUCAGGCUCACAGACUGGGAGGCCAUGAGCCCAGCUGUCAAGCAGCUCUGGCUGCUGGGGAGGACACAGGCCAGGAUGGCGAGGCCCUAGCCUCAUGCAGGGCUCCAGACAGCCUUGUGGAGUCAGUGAUUCCCAACUGAGAUGCACAUCCUGUGUCAAGAACCAGGAGAUCCAGGCAGGGAGGGGCUUUGGCCCCAAGAAGCAUGAGGCUGAGAUCUGGGUCCCCCGGAGGACCUGUGCAUGCAGCAAUGCUGCUGGCAACAAGAAGCCUCAGCCUCCCACUUUGUUGGCCUGGCCCCGACAGUGCCUUCGCCCAGUGCUGCCACCACUCCUUUUCUCGGCUGGGCCCCAACUAGGCCAGCAAGUGGACAACAAAGGCGAGGCAAGGGCAGAGCCUGACAGCAGGAUGCUGCAGAGUGCCGUGCUUACCAGGUAAAUAUACAGAGAGAAGCAGACACAGAAAGAUCUUCCAUCUGCUGAUUCACUCCGCAAGUGGCUGCAACGGGUGGAACUGAGCCAAUCUGAAGCCAGGAGUCAGGAGCUUCUUCAGGUCUCCCACACAGGGACAGGGUCCCAAGGGCCAUGCUCUACUGCUUUCCAAGGUCACAAGCAGGGAGCUGGAUAGGAUCACAACCGGCGCCAAGAUGGGAUCCUGGACAUGUUCAAGGUGAGGACCCUAGUCAACUAGGUUACCAUGUCGGACCCAAAGAUGAUUUUUUAAAAGGUUAUUUAUCUAUUUAAAAGGCAGAGCUACAGAAAGGGAGAGAUGGAGAUCUUCCAUCUGCUGGUUCAUUGUCCAAAUGGCCACAAUGGCUGGAGCUGGGCCAGUCUAAAGCCAAGAGCCAGGAGUUUCCUGCAGGUCUCCCAUGUGGGUGCAGGGGCCUAAGGAUGUGGGUUGCCACCUGCUCCCUUUCCAGGCUCAUCAGCAGAGCUGAUGGGAAGUAGAGCAUCCUGGUCUCAAACAUGCUGUCAUUUGGGAUGCUGGUACCACAGGUGGAGUCUUUACUGAUUGUGCCAGCUCCUCUGUUACCUUUUUGAAAACCCUUCAUCUACAUAGAUUCAAAAAAUAUUUAUAUCAAACUUAAAACUUUUCAUUGUAUUUGAAAAGCAGACUGACAAUAUUCUUAUGUCCACUGAUCCAUUCCCCAGUUACCUACUACACCUGAGGCCAGGUCAGGAGGAAAUCAGGAACCUAGAAUUGAAUUUGGCUUCUCUAACAGGUGACAAGGACACAAGUGCUUGACCACUCCUCUGCUGCCUCCCCGGAUGCCCAUCACCAGCCAGCUGGAUCGGAAGGGGAGGGGCUGGGGCUCAAAGCACGCAUUCCAGUAUGGGCUACAGGCAUCCCAAGCAGUGUCAAUGCCCAGCCCUUAAACAUACUCUAAAAUACUUCCCACAAAUUUUUGACAUUUCCUUCUCCUCCCACCUCCUCAAUUUCAGAUACAGCUUAUGAGUUAUUUCUAGAAUUUUCUGUUAAUAUUUUGGACCAUGGUUGCUUUCAGGUAACUGCAGUCAUGGAAAGCAGAAUCACAGCUAAGGGGGCUACUGUACACUUACUU